rnacentral:lncRNA from 1 species
AGCCCCUAGCGCAGACGGCGGAGAGCAGAGAGGGAGCGCGCCUUGGCUCGCUGGCCUUGGCGGCGGCUCCUCAGGAGAGCUGGGGCGCCCACGAGAGGAUCCCUCACCCGGGUCUCUCCUCAGGGAUGACAUCAUCCGUCCACCUCCUUGUCUUCAAGGACCACCUCCUCUCCAUGCUGAGCUGCUGCCAAGGGGCCUGCUGCCCAUCUACACCUCACGAGGGCACUAGGAGCACGGUUUCCUGGAUCCCACCAACAUACAAAGCAGCCACUCACUGACCCCCAGGACCAGGAUGGCAAAGGAUGAAGAGGACCGGAACUGACCAGCCAGCUGUCCCUCUUACCUAAAGACUUAAACCAAUGCCCUAGUGAGGGGGCAUUGGGCAUUAAGCCCUGACCUUUGCUAUGCUCAUACUUUGACUCUAUGAGUACUUUCCUAUAAGUCUUUGCUUGUGUUCACCUGCUAGCAAACUGGAGUGUUUCCCUCCCCAAGGGGGUGUCAGUCUUUGUCGACUGACUCUGUCAUCACCCUUAUGAUGUCCUGAAUGGAAGGAUCCCUUUGGGAAAUUCUCAGGAGGGGGACCUGGGCCAAGGGCUUGGCCAGCAUCCUGCUGGCAACUCCAAGGCCCUGGGUGGGCUUCUGGAAUGAGCAUGCUACUGAAUCACCAAAGGCACGCCCGACCUCUCUGAAGAUCUUCCUAUCCUUUUCUGGGGGAAUGGGGUCGAUGAGAGCAACCUCCUAGGGUUGUUGUGAGAAUUAAAUGAGAUAAAAGAGGCCUCAGGCAGGAUCUGGCAUAGAGGAGGUGAUCAGCAAAUGUUUGUUGAAAAGGUUUGACAGGUCAGUCCCUUCCCACCCCUCUUGCUUGUCUUACUUGUCUUAUUUAUUCUCCAACAGCACUCCAGGCAGCCCUUGUCCACGGGCUCUCCUUGCAUCAGCCAAGCUUCUUGAAAGGCCUGUCUACACUUGCUGUCUUCCUUCCUCACCUCCAAUUUCCUCUUCAACCCACUGCUUCCUGACUCGCUCUACUCCGUGGAAGCACGCUCACAAAGGGCUAAUCUCGGGCCUUGUCGAAGGAAGAGGCUGCAGACGUUAAUGAGGUUAGCUGCUGGAUUCCAGUAUUCGUCGCAUAAGGAUCCUUCUUUGUCUGCGAAGGAAAAACACACUGAUUAUCAUAAUGAGUUCCUGACCUGGCCAUCCCGGGGUGCCCUUGACCAGCCCCGUGUCUCCUCAGGGUGUCCCAGCACCAGCCUGGCACAGAGUGGGGCUCAGUUAGAGUAUGUGGGAUGUUGGUUUCGCCAGGCACGUGGGCCGUGGCCCGGCUGGGUCGGCUGAAGAACUGCGGAUGGAAGCUGCGGAAGAGGCCCUGAUGGGGCCCACCAUCCCGGACCCAAGUCUUCUUCCUGGCGGGCCUCUCGUCUCCUUCCUGGUUUGGGCGGAAGCCAUCACCUGGAUGCCUACGUGGGAAGGGACCUCGAAUGUGGGACCCCAGCCCCUCUCCAGCUCGAAAUCCCUCCACAGCCACGGGGACACCCUGCACCUAUUCCCACGGGACAGGCUGGACCCAGAGACUCUGGACCCGGGGCCUCCCCUUGAGUAGAGACCCGCCCUCUGACUGAUGGACGCCGCUGACCUGGGGUCAGACCCGUGGGCUGGACCCCUGCCCACCCCGCAGGAACCCUGAGGCCUAGGGGAGCUGUUGAGCCUUCAGUGUCUGCAUGUGGGAAGUGGGCUCCUUCACCUACCUCACAGGGCUGUUGUGAGGGGCGCUGUGAUGCGGUUCCAAAGCACAGGGCUUGGCGCACCCCACUGUGCUCUCAAUAAAUGUGUUUCCUGUCUUAACAAAAAAAAAAAAAAA